rnacentral:rRNA from 1 species
AUUGAACGCUGGCGGCAUGCCUUACACAUGCAAGUCGAACGGUAACAGGUCUUCGGAUGCUGACGAGUGGCGAACGGGUGAGUAAUGCAUCGGAACGUGCCCAGUUGUGGGGGAUAACUGCUCGAAAGAGCAGCUAAUACCGCAUACGACCUGAGGGUGAAAGCGGGGGACCGCAAGACCUCGCGCAAUUGGAGCGGCCGAUGUCAGAUUAGGUAGUUGGUGGGGUAAAGGCCCACCAAGCCGACGAUCUGUAGCUGGUCUGAGAGGACGACCAGCCACACUGGGACUGAGACACGGCCCAGACUCCUACGGGAGGCAGCAGUGGGGAAUUUUGGACAAUGGGCGAAAGCCUGAUCCAGCAAUGCCGCGUGCAGGAAGAAGGCCUUCGGGUUGUAAACUGCUUUUGUACGGAGCGAAAAGGUCCUUUCUAAUACAAGGGGCUCAUGACGGUACCGUAAGAAUAAGCACCGGCUAACUACGUGCCAGCCGCCGCGGUAAAAC